UAACAAUCUAGGUAGUGAGUUAUCCCAAUUGAUCGUUCAGGGUCAGUUACAGAUCAAACUCCUUGUUCUACAAUUUUCCACCUUCUCACUACUGCAAUUGACUAGUAUUAA
ensembl:misc_RNA Y_RNA Y RNA